AGUUCUAGGCGUAAAAGCUCGUAGUUGGAUAUCUGGGGUGGUCUGUGGCGCACUAGCUGCGAAACAGACCAUACCCAUCCUUCUGUUAACAUGUAUUGGCACUCUCGUGUUGGACAUGGGCUCAGAUAUUUUACCUUGAAAAAAUCAGAGUGUUUCAGGCAGGCUUGGCCGGAAUACAAAAGCAUGGAGUAAUGGAAUUGACACAACUCUGUGGUUGGCCAGAGAAGUGUAAUGAUUAAUAGGAACAGUUGGGGGCAUUAGUAUUUAAUUGUCAGAGGUGAAAUUCUUGGAUUUGUUAAAGACUAACUAAGGCGAAAGCAUUU
rnacentral:rRNA from 1 species